GUCCCAGCCGCCGCGGUAAUACGGGGGGGGCGAGCGUUGUUCGGAAUUACUGGGCGUAAAGGGCGCGUAGGCGGUUUCGGAAGUCAUGGGUGAAAGUCCUCGGCUCAACCGAGGGAUUGCCUGUGAAACCACGGGACUGGAGUGCUGGAGAGGGAAGUGGAAUUCCCAGUGUAGCGGUGAAAUGCGUAGAUAUUGGGAGGAACACCUGUGGCGAAGGCGGCUUCCUGGACAGACACUGACGCUGAGGCGCGAAAGCCAGGGGAGCGAACGGGAUUAGAUACCCCGGUAGUCCUGGCUGUAAACGAUGAACACUUGGUGUGGGGGGUGAUGAAAGUCCCUCUGUGCCGGAGAGAGCUCGUUAAGUGUUCCGCCUGGGGAGUACGGCCGCAAGGCUGAAACUCAAAGGAAUUGACGGGGGCCCGCACAAGCGGUGGAGCAUGUGGUUUAAUUCGACGCAACGCGAAGAACCUUACCGGGGUUUGAACUGCACCUGAACGACCUAGAGAUGGGGAGGUUCCUUUCGGGGACAGGUGUAGAGGUGCUGCAUGGCUGUCGUCAGCUCGUGUCGUGAGAUGUUGGGUUAAGUCCCGCAACGAGCGCAACCCUUGUCUGUAGUUGCCAUCAGGUGAAGCUGGGCACUCUACGGAGACUGUCGGCGAGAAGCCGGAGGAAGGUGGGGAUGACGUCAAGUCCUCAUGGCCUUUAUGUCCCGGGCUACACACGUGCUACAAUGGGCGGUACAGAGGGCAGCGACCCUGUGAAGGCAAGCGAAUCCCAGAAAACCGCUCUCAGUUCGGAUUGCAGUCUGCAACUCGACUGCAUGAAGUUGGAAUCGCUAGUAAUCGCGGAUCAGAACGCCGCGGUGAAUACGUUCCCGGGCCUUGUACACACCGCCCGUCACAUCACGAAAGUGGG
rnacentral:rRNA from 1 species